AACGAACGCUGGCGGCAUGCCUAACACAUGCAAGUCGAACGAGACCUUCGGGUCUAGUGGCGCACGGGUGCGUAACGCGUGGGAACCUGCCCUUAGGUUCGGAAUAACUCCCCGAAAGGGGUGCUAAUACCGGAUAAUGUCUUCGGACCAAAGAUUUAUCGCCUUUGGAUGGGCCCGCGUUGGAUUAGCUAGUUGGUAGGGUAAAAGCCUACCAAGGCGACGAUCCAUAGCUGGUCUGAGAGGAUGAUCAGCCACACUGGGACUGAGACACGGCCCAGACUCCUACGGGAGGCAGCAGUGGGGAAUAUUGGACGAUGGGCGAAAGCCUGAUCCAGCAAUGCCGCGUGAGUGAUGAGGGCCUUAGGGUUGUAAAGCUCUUUUACCCGGGAUGAUAAUGACAGUACCGGGAGAAUAAGCUCCGGCUAACUCCGUG
rnacentral:rRNA from 1 species